rnacentral:rRNA from 1 species
AGCGAACGCUGGCGGCAGGCCUAACACAUGCAAGUCGAGCGGCCGUAGCAAUACGGCAGCGGCAGGCGGGAGAGUAACACGUGGGAACGCGCCCUUCGGUUCGGGAUAACUCAGGGAAACUUGGGCUAAUACCGGAUACGCCCUUACGGGGAAAGAUUUAUUGCCGAAGGAACGGCCCGCGUACGAUUAGCUUGUUGGUGAGGGAACGGCUCACCCAGGCGACGAUCGGUAGCUGGUCUGAGAGGAUGACCAGCCUCACUGGGACUGAGACACGGCCCAGACUCCGACGGGAGGCAGCAGUGGGGAAUAUUGGACAAUGGGCGCAAGCCUGGUCCAGCCAUGCCGCGUGGGUGAUGAAGGCCCUAGGGUUGUAAAGCCCUUUCAGCGGGGAAGAUAAUGACGGUACCCGCAGAAGAAGCCCCGGCUAACUUCGUGCCAGCCACCGCCGUAAUAC